GGAGGGGGCAAGCGUUAUUCGGAUUUACUGGGCGUAAAGCGCACGUAGGCGGCCAGGCAUGUCGACGGUGAAAGCCCUCGGCUCAACCGAGGAAUUGCCUUCGAAACUGCCUGGCUUGAGUCCGGGAGGGGGGAGCGGAAUUCCCAGUGUAGCGGUGAAAUGCGUAGAUACUGGGAGGAACACCGGUGGCGAAGGCGGCUCCCUGGACCGUUACUGACGCUGAGGUGCGAAAGCGUGGGUAGCAAACAGGAUUAGAUACCCUGGGUAGUCCACGCCGUAAACGAUGGGCACUAGGUGCAGCGGGUGUCGACCCCCCUGCUGUGCCGAAGUUAACGCAUUAAGUGCCCCGCCUGGGGAGUACGGUCGCAAGGCUG
rnacentral:rRNA from 1 species